AGACCCGUGGACGAGCUGGAGGGAUGGGACAGGAUCCACAGCUGGGGAUGCUGUGGGGCGUAGUCAAAGGUGUUUUAGCUCUGAUGAGGAGGAGGAUGAUGAGGCACCUGGAAUUAGGGUAACAGCUGACAGCGAUGAGGAGUUGUAAACUGGCAUAAAAUGGGGUUUAGAAUCCAGGGCUAAUUGCGUUGGGCAAGGUAAUCUGGACGAACACUUGGGCUCUUGUUGGGAAUUUCCUGAAGACGGGUGUGAUUCGUUUGCUGAAUACCUUGGACCUCCGUCGUCUUUUUGACGGACAUUAAUUGCCUACUCUGGAUUGACGCUGGACUGACUGACUGACUGACUACGACCUCGGACUAUCCCUUCUGUGAUUAUCAGUGGAACUGGUGAACUAAAGACAUCUGUACCUGGCCUUCGACCUUGGACCGGAUUGGGACCCUGCUGACUGCUUCUGCCCUGAUUGAUGUGUUUGGACCCGGAGUUCGCUUGCUGCACGGAGGAGUAACAACUUAGUUAAUCAACCACAGCUGUUGAGUAGCAGAGAGUAAUCUGCUGCCAGUUAUUUACGUUUCAUUGAAUCUUAGUUUACCAGUUUUUGUUUGUUUUAAGAGCCAGGCUGAAGUAAGCAUUUUUGGUUUAACCCGGAUUAAACUCCCGUUUAAUCCGGUUUAUCUUUUGAACUGUUUUUUAGUGUCUUUUCAUAUUGAAGGCGAGUCUUUGCCUAGCCCUUUGUCUUUUACGGGCAUUUUUGGUUCUGUAUCCUUAAUAAACUGUGUUGAAUCUUA